GUUAAAGUGGCAGAGCCCGGUUAUUGCAAAAGGUCUAAGCCCUUUCGACGGAGGUUCAAUUCCUCUCUUUAAUU
rnacentral:tRNA from 1 species